rnacentral:lncRNA from 10 species
AGGAGGCAUGCAUGGUAAUCCCAUUAUCUGAUAACAGGAUUUGUGCACAUACCUCCCACAUGCACCAUCAGUAACCCACCCUUUUAGUAUCGCUGUGAAAUGCAAUUUGUGUGCAGAUGAAAAGUUUACAGAACAUGGGCCUGUGCCAUGAAGCUCAACAAAGCCAGCGCACUGUGUGGCAAGGUUUCUGAACCCGACCCCUGUCGUUCCUGCUGUCUCCCUCCUUAUUGAUUUCUGUCCCUUGGCCAAGCGGGCUUUGUGAUCGUCUGCAUCGACCCAGAAACUUGCAAAAUGAGCUAAUCAAAUAGGUGCAGCAGAAAUCAACCCUGAAUUUCUAGGAGGCUUUGGAGACAUGCCACACACAGGAUGUGGGAGAUGAUCGGGUCAAAGAGCUUACCAUAACUGGCACAUAUCUUCACAUAAGCAUCAUAUAAAGAGCAGCAGAUGUUAGUGACAGAAGCUGCGUGCAAAAUAUGCAGAAGAAUAUCCUCAUUACUUCUAUUGCUUACAAGAUUUCAUCCAAGAUACUACAUUACAUUUAAUGUUCAUGUCUCCUGAUUCCUCUUGAUUUUCCUUGCUUUUAAUGACCUUGACAAGUUUUGAGGCAUACUGGUCUGGUAUACUGUAGGAUGCCCUCUGUUGGAAUUUGUAAAAUUUCAAUAUAAUUAGAAUAAAUUUCACAAAUCUAUUGAUUAUGUGAAAGUUGUCAGAAUCAAAAUGGAGUCACUUGCAUUAAAAUUCCUGACAAAGAGACCCAGGGAAGGUCUCGAAGGGAAGUUUCUCAAGCCCAAAUGCCUGGUAACAAGAACUAUCACAGAAGACUGCAGAAACCACAACCUUGCACAAAGGCCAUUGCAACUAUACACAAAGAAGUACCCCUGUGAGGACAUCUGCCCAGCAACUUCCUGUUCAACCUCAGACUAGUGCCACUCUUCUUACUGAUCCUGUAGCCAAGGAUAAUAGUGUCAUAACAAUUGUAUAAUCCUCAUUUUUCCUCUAAAAGCCUUUUUCUUCUGUUACUUCCCUGAAUACUCAUAUGGUUUACUAUGGGCUGCUUAUUGCCAUGGCAAUGCUUAUUCCCA